AUGGCCGCGCCUCGCCCGCCGCCGCUGGGGGGCCCUGGAGGCGGGCCCGGUGGCAGCGGUGGCGCCGCCCCCGCCGCCGGGGCGCCCGCCGGGGUCAGCAUGCGGAUGUUCCACGGGGAGGUGUUCCUCGGCGAGAUGGAGGUGUUCCCGAUGAAGCAAGGGGGCGAGGGGGGCCUUCCGUUCCCCAGCAACGAGAUCCGCGUCAGCCACCUCUCGCCGCCGAGCGAGAGGUGCCCGCCGCUCGCCAUCCUGCAGACCAUCGCGCCCUUCUCUGUGCGAUGCAAGCUGCAGUCCAAGCUGAUGCCUCCCCUCCCGAGCCUCCACCGCCUGUACCUCGUUUGUUUCAACGAGUUCAAGAGUGCGGUGGUAGUGGUUGGAGACGAGGAGCUGCACCUAGUGGCAAUGCCGACCAAGUCGGAAAAGGCGCCGUGCUUCUGGUGCUGCUCAGCACGCUCUGGCCUCUAUGCAUCCUCAGUCAGGAUGCUCAACCUGCGCUGCCUUGCCAUUGUGUUUGAUCUUGAUGAGACCCUUAUUGUUGCCAAUACAAUGAAGUCCUUCGAGGAUCGGAUUGAGAUGCUUUCCCGCAGGAUGGAUGUUGAAGAUGAUCCUGUGAGAAUAGCAGGGAUGUCUGCAGAAAUCAAGCGGUACAUAGAGGACAAGGAGCUUCUCAAAGAAUUUAUAGACACAGAUACAGUUACGGACAAUGGCAAAAUAGUUGGAACCCAAAAGGAGGAGGUUCAACCUGUGUCUGGUGGUCAGGAGCGUGUUUUUCGUCCUGUUAUCAGACUGCCUGAGAGGAAUGCAAUUCUGACUCGUAUCAAUCCAGAGAUUCGUGAUACCAGUGUUUUCGUGAAGCUAAGGCCUGCUUGGGAGGAGUUGAGAAGCUACCUAACAGCAAAGGGAAGAAAGAGAUUUGAGGUGUAUGUAUGUACAAUGGCUGAGAGAGAUUAUGCUCUUGAGAUGUGGAGACUUCUUGAUCCAGAAGGCAACUUGAUAAAUCCGCAACAGCUUUCAGAACGCAUAACUUGUGUAAAGUCAGGUUCCAAAAAGUCUCUGCAGAAUGUCUUUCGAGACAGAGGAUGCCAUCCAAAGAUGGCCAUGGUAAUUGAUGACCGACUUAAUGUUUGGGAUGAUAAAGAUCAGCACAGGGUUCAUGUUGUCCCAGCAUAUAUUCCAUACUAUGCCCCACAAGCUGAGAUGGCAAAUGCUGUUCCAGUUCUUUGUGUUGCAAGAAAUGUUGCUUGCAAUGUUCGUGGUGGUUUUUUCAGAGAGUUUGAUGAGAAUCUACUGAGGAAAGUGUUUGAACUAUUCUAUGAAAAUGGGUUACUGGAUCUUCCAUAUGCACCAGAUGUUGGUGACUACUUAGUCUGUGAGGAUACUAAUUUUGUACCAAGCAAUAAAGAUCAGGCUCCUAUACCUGAGGGCAUGAGGGGAGCUGAAGUAGAGAAGAGAUUGAAUGGACAGUUGUAUCGGGGGGAGCAAAGGGAAGGACAGCAAAUGUCAUCUUCAACCCGUUCACCAGAUGAUGAGGGGAUGUCAUUUCGAGGCACUGGAGCAGGUAGGAAUGUCCAGCCGAAUGGGGGCGCACUAGCAAUAGCCCCCUCAGUAUUUGUCACGGUGUUACAAGAAAUUGGGCGACUAUGUGACUCCAAGGUGGAAUUCAGAUCUACUGUAAGCAAUGGCAAAAGUAUGCAAUUUUCUGUAGAGGUUCUGUUUAGUAAUGAAAAAAUUGGAGUAGGCAUCGGAAAAACAAGAGAUGAAGCCCAAGUUCAAGCUGCUGAAAAAGCUCUCCAAAAUUUGGAGAGCAGUUAUUUGUCAUUCGUUGCUCCUAUUGCUGGAGUUCCUAACAAAGAUUCAAGGAAGUCCCCAGGGAGUGGAAAUGGCUUUCUGGAGGAUGUUACUUGUUCAGAUGUUGAUAUUUCCAUGCACGAACCUUCUGGAAGUACAUUGAAACAGGAUCAUUCAAAUAAUUUGGAUAAGUUGUCAUCUGUUAUGAGUCUUAUUAGAGAACAUGCCGAGAAAACCCCCGAACCCCUACCACACCCUUACACAGGGGCGCUGUUACCCAUGUGAGUGCGGGCCGGGACCUUCCUUUCGUGCUUUGGCGUGGCGGCAGGCGAGGGGAUUUUUUUUAACCCCAGUCUGAAAUUCCCUCCCACUGGGAGUUGAACCCAGGACCCGAGGAGUGCUAUUGAGGCCACCUAACCAAUCCGGCUAGGCACCCGUUCGCGUUCAUACAUUAUUUUGACAUGCUGAAUUUUGUUUCCUUCAUUGACUACUAAUUUUUGUUUAAUAUUGUAGUGCUUGGACGACCAGCAAGUAGUGUUUCGAGAUCAAGUCCAGAAUUCUAGCCCAGCCAGAAUCGAAGAAUACCAUUUUCAGGUUGAACUAGCUGGACAGAUUCUUGGGAGGGGUUCUGGUUCGGACAGAGAUAUUGCAAAGCUUCUGGCUGCAGAAGAGGCAUUGAAGACCUUAAAAUCUACUAGUGACCCACAAAUUAAGAAGUAUCUGAGACCUGUAAGAUGCAAUGGCUGAUCCCCACCCCCCUCUGAGCUCCGUAAUCAAAUGAGUUCCAUAUUCAAAAAGGUCGGAAUGUGAGGACAGCAGCUCAUUUCACCAUCCCAGCUGUCUGAUUUAGCAGAAGCGCAGUAUCCUUUCUGUGAGUAUGGUUGACAUCUCACCUGGAACCCAUGAUAUGUGCCGAACUUCAAGCACAUGUUUCGUUCUGGAAAGGCUGGCUUGGAAGGUGGUAUAACAUAGAGGGCAGACAUGGUGCUUUAUGGAUUCUUUUGACCAUCUUCAUCAAAGAAUCUUCCCAUGUGCAACUUAUUCACAUACAAUUAUAGAUGUUCAAUCUUGUUUAGGAUAGUGGCAUAGUUCUGUAAACAAGUAGGAAUGUAGAUGUCGUGGAUCUAAAUUGUUUCCUUGAAGGAAUGAAGGAUGUGAUGACCCAUUAACAGUUGGAGCAUUAAAACUGGAAUGCUUGUACUGGUUGUUCAUGUUUAUGUCUAUUAUAAACGGUGCUAAAUCCUUUACA